rnacentral:hammerhead_ribozyme from 1 species
AUCCAACUAAAGAGUUCCAAAUAGGACGAAACGCGCAUCGUGGAU